UAUUCUAGACUUACCAUCUUGUGCUGUGAUCCCAUCAGAUCCCACAAGAUAAGCAAUAGUGAGCCAGGGCAGUGCUUGAAUGGGAGACCUCUAAGGGUAUGUCUUUGCUGCAGCUGGGAGCA
ensembl:rRNA 5S_rRNA 5S ribosomal RNA